rnacentral:rRNA from 1 species
AUUGAACGCUGGCGGCAGGCUUAACACAUGCAAGUCGAGCGGAGAUGAGGUGCUUGCACCUUAUCUUAGCGGCGGACGGGUGAGUAAUGCUUAGGAAUCUGCCAUUUAGUGGGGGACAACAUUCCGAAAGGAACGCUAAUACCGCAUACGUCCUACGGGAGAAAGCAGGGGAUCUUCGGACCUUGCGCUAAAUGAUGAGCCUAAGUCGGAUUAGCUAGUUGGUGGGGUAAAGGCCUACCAAGGCGACGAUCUGUAGCGGGUCUGAGAGGAUGAUCCGCCACACUGGGACUGAGACACGGCCCAGACUCCUACGGGAGGCAGCAGUGGGGAAUAUUGGACAAUGGGCGAAAGCCUGAUCCAGCCAUGCCGCGUGUGUGAAGAAGGUCUUCGGAUUGUAAAGCACUUUAAGUCGGGAGGAAGGGCUGUAGGCUAAUACCUUGCAGUUUUGACGUUACCGACAGAAUAAGCACCGGCUAACUUCGUGCCAGCCGCCGCUGUAAGAC